rnacentral:rRNA from 1 species
CCUACGGGAGGCAGCAGUAGGGAAUCUUUGGCAAUGGACGAAAGUCUGACCGAGCAACGCCGCGUGAGUGAAGAAGGUUUUCGGAUCGUAAAACUCUGUUGGUAGAGAAGAACGUUGGUGAGAGUGGAAAGCUCAUCAAGUGACGGUAACUACCCAGAAAGGGACGGCUAACUACGUGCCAGCAGCCGCGGUAAU